AUUGAACGCUGGCGGCAUGCCUUACACAUGCAAGUCGAACGGCAGCACGGGUGCUUGCCCCUGGUGGCGAGUGGCGAACGGGUGAGUAAAACAUCGGAACAUGUCCUGUAGUGGGGGAUAGCCCGGCGAAAGCCGGAUUAAUACCGCAUACGAUCUACGGAUGAAAGCGGGGGACCUUCGGGCCUCGCGCUAUAGGGUUGGCCGAUGGCUGAUUAGCUAGUUGGUGGGGUAAAGGCCUACCAAGGCGACGAUCAGUAGCUGGUCUGAGAGGACGACCAGCCACACUGGGACUGAGACACGGCCCAGACUCCUACGGGAGGCAGCAGUGGGGAAUUUUGGACAAUGGGCGAAAGCCUGAUCCAGCAAUGCCGCGUGUGUGAAGAAGGCCUUCGGGUUGUAAAGCACUUUUGUCCGGAAAGAAAUCCUUGGCCCUAAUACGGUCGGGGGAUGACGGUACCGGAAGAAUAAGCACCGGCUAACUACGUG
rnacentral:rRNA from 1 species